CCUACGGGAGGCAGCAGUGGGGAAUUUUGCGCAAUGGGGGCAACCCUGACGCAGCAACGCCGCGUGAGUGAUGAAGGCCUUCGGGUCGUAAAGCUCUGUCAGAGGGGAAGAAAUGCAGGUGGUGAACAACCAUUCUGUUUGACGGUACCCUCAAAGGAAGCACCGGCUAACUCCGUGCCAGCAGCCGCGGUAAUACGGAGGGUGCGAGCGUUGUUCGGAAUUAUUGGGCGUAAAGCGCGUGUAGGCGGUUUGUUAAGUCGGAGGUAAAAGCCCCGGGCUCAACCGGGGAAGUGCAUUGGAUACUGGCAGACUUGAGUACGGGAGAGGAGAGGGAAAUUCCCGGUGUAGGGGUGAAAGGCGUAGAGAUCGGGAGGAACACCCGUGGCGUGGGCGGCGUCCUGGCCGACACCUGACGCUGAAGCGCGAAAGCGUGGGGAGCGAACGGGAUUAGAUCCCC
rnacentral:rRNA from 1 species